CCUACGGGGGGCAGCAGUGGGGAAUAUUGUACAAUGGGGGAAACCCUGAUGCAGCGACGCCGCGCGGAGGAAGAAGGUCUUCGGAUUGUAAACUCCUGUUGUUGGGGAAGAUAAUGACGGUACCCAACAAGGAAGUGACGGCUAACUACGUGCCAGCAGCCGCGGUAAAACGUAGGUCACAAGCGUUGUCCGGAAUUACUGGGUGUAAAGGGAGCGCAGGCGGGAAGACAAGUUGGAAGUGAAAUCUAUGGGCUCAACCCAUAAACUGCUUUCAAAACUGUUUUUCUUGAGUAGUGCAGAGGUAGGCGGAAUUCCCGGUGUAGCGGUGGAAUGCGUAGAUAUCGGGAGGAACACCAGUGGCGAAGGCGGCUUACUGGACGGUAACUGACGCUGAGGAGCGAAAGCGUGGGGAGCGAACAGGAUU
rnacentral:rRNA from 1 species